UGGCCCAGGCCUUCCUCCUGCGACUCGCCACUUGCCACUCCAGUUCCUCCUCCGCCUCCGCCGACGCCACCAGGGGCCGGUCCAUGGCCGCACCGGGAGCUCCGCUGCCCUAGUCGGAGCCUGCUUGAGACACGAAAAAAUGUGGAAAGGCCACCUGCCCGUCUUCACCGCGUCAAAACAAAUGUCUGGUUGGGCUCGCCGAGUUACUAUUGUUGGCGAAGUCCAAGGAAUUGAGGAUGAAGAUGAAAGAAAAGAGCCUCCUAAUUGUACACACCAGAGAGAGAAGCAGGUGUUUAUACCACUGGAACUUUGCCUUGCAGAUUAUUUACAAAAUCUUGUUCCUUCAUGCCCAUCUCAGAACAAACACAAUCUGCAUUCAGAACAGGACCGUUUACAAGUUCAAUGGAGUUAUUUUGGACUGAGUGACCAAAAGAUGAUAUACACAGAGAUGAGAAGAGCUGAUUUGGGCAGCAGGCACGGAAACUGGUUCAGGGUGCUGAACAAGGAAAGGAGAGAAAAUAUGACUCAUUGCUCUUGGUGUAAUCCCCAAGGACCAGAGAAGCUCUACUUUAAACCAUACCUUAAGAAGAGGAUUUUUAUGGAAGGUGAGAAAGAGGCUGCAUUUUCACCUCAGGGAAGGCUGUAUAGAUGCUGCCACAUACCACCUAGAUGUCUUUUAGAAUCAAAGGCAACAUCAAUACCUCUGGAAAUUUUAUUGGCUCUGCCUUCAAAAUAUAUUCAGAAUCUAGGAAGUUCUUCAGGCAAAAGGAAUAUAAGACCAACCAUAAAACUUGGAUCUACAUCAAGAAAUGAAGAGCAUUGGAAAUGGAAUCAAGCAAGUCAGUGGUACUAUCAUUGAUCAGAUUGCUACAGCCAGACACUGGAGUGACAUCUUUGAUCCUUUUCUCUACUUUAAAUUUCCCCUACCAGUGAUGCUCCUUCCAAUCACCCAGUCCCAUGUAUUCUACUUGCGAGGGAGAGAAUGCGCAUGUACAUGCACACGAGUUGGAGAUGGGCAGAGGGAGAGAGAAUCUCAAGCAGUCCCCAUGCCCAGCUCAGAGUACAACAUGGGACUUCAUCUCACAACCCUGAAAUCAUGACCAGAGCUGAAAUUAAAGUAAGAUGCCUAACCAACACAGCCCCCAGGCACCCCUAUACUUUUCUACUUUUAGUAUGUAUUUUAUUUUAUAAUAAUUAAUCAUGUAUUUUUCCCUUGCUAGAGUACAAGCCCUUGAAAGCGAAGACAGUGUCUUUCCCUCUGUAACAUUCUUACAGUGACCGAUAAGGCCUUGCAUCAUCUGCCGCCAUCACCUUUUCUGCUCUCAUUACCUAAAUUCUCCCUCAUUUCUUCGUUUCAACUUCCUUACUUGUCUCUCUAACUUGCUUUCUCCAGCUUGGCCUCUUUGCUGCUUCUCUAACUUUCCAGGCAUGAUCCUGCCUUAAGGCCUUCAUACGUGCUAUCCCCUCUACCUAGAAUGUAUUUCCUCCAGUUUUCUGUGUGGCUCUCUCCCUCAUCUGCUUUGGAUUUUUAUUCAAAGGCCACAUUGUCAGUGGAGACUUCUCUGACCAUCUGAUCUCUUACCUCCCACUAACAUUCCUAUCCCUCUCCCUGCUUUAUUUUUUACUUUAGCUUUUACCACUGUCUAAUAUACUUUUAUGGUUUAAUAUCAUUCUCCCUACACUAGAAUGUGAACUCCAUAAGGGCAAGGACUUCUGUCUUUUUGGUUCAACUGUCUCCCCAGUACCUGGAGUUAUGAUCUAACACAAAAGAGUCAGUGGAACUGUUCCCCGCUACUCUGACCCUAGUCAUUUUAUAAAAUAAGCCAUUCAUCUUUUUAGGCACUAAAUUAUUCUAAUCACCUGGGAAGUCUUUCAUCUUCCUGAUUGCUUUAACCUGUUAUUUCCAGAAUAAGUAUGUCUUUGGAGGGGAUGGAGAAACCAGAACUAAAAAUCAAUCUCUCAUGAGAAUCUGAAAGCAAAAAUUUACUGAAGUCCUUUAAGUUUCAGUUGUAUCUGAAUAAUAAAUAUCCUGAAAACUAAGAGAACAUUUGAUGUGAGGCCAGAGCUACUGGUCUUAUUAAACAUGCCUCCUCCUCCUGGACAGCUCCUAGGGUAAUGGUUCUUUAUCUUUCUGUGAAGGGAGUAGAUGCUCAGGGAAAAACUGAUUCUCUCAAGUCACCGAUGCCCUUUUUAUGUUGAAACCCAUGGAUUGGCCUGGCAGUACAAUCAGCCUGGUCAUUUGGGUAGAAAUGUGAGGUUUCUAAAGCCAAACCAGCUGUGCAGUUAGAUGGAGACCCAUUUCCUGAGCAGGAAAUGGCAAAGAAGAAUCAUAUUAAAUGACCACAAUAUGGGUAUCUAGUCAUUUUGUAAAAUUCCAACACCUUGCAAUGAUCAACAACUCUAGGGGAAAACAACAUCCAGUCUCACAAUAUGUAAGCCUGAUUCAUGACUAAUGAUUCAUCACAGAUGUUUGAUUCAACUUCCAUUUCCAGAGUUAUAAGAUGAGCAAACAGAUGCUCACCACCCUGUAAUUUCAAGGGAAUAUCUUACUGCAACUACAACUAAGCACAGUUUCUAUAGGAACAUGUGAAAAAUUGUUACAGAGAAAACUGGGAAUGAUCAUUUAUAAUACAAAAUAGAAGUGAAAGUAAAUACAGCAAAAUUUGAAUUUUUGACCCCCCAAGGUAAAGAUCCUAGUUAGUUAAAGCCAAAGGAAAGGAGAAAAUGGAAUGCCAUAUUUGAUUGGGUGUUCUAAACACAAGAUUUGCAAAAACAGCUCAUGCCAUGUCAUCAUUACAAAAUAACAGAAGACUUGCCAACAAAAAGGAAAUCAUGUGGGUACAAUGAGAAAACGGAGUUGAAGAAGCUGUUAUUUAGUUAAACGUUCUAACAAUGCAGAGGAUUUGGGUAACAAUUAGGCUGCAAAUGAUUAAGAUAAAGUUUGGGAGAAGAGGAAGAUAGCAGCCAUCAAUUGUGUGUUGCUGGAGUGAAGUUCAACGGGAACCAAACUGAAAUGUUUGGAACCAGAAUGAAAGUCUAUGUGAUAAUUUAAUUAAAACAGACGUCCAGACCAGCAGAGAAGGAAGGAAAAGAGAGAGAUGUAGAACUAGAAAAGAUAACUUCUGGAAGAAUUUCCUGUAAUUGGGAGCGAUUAGGUGAAAUGGUGAAGUAUGGUUGUAGUUCAGAAGAAAGGAUUAAAAAAAAUAGCUGAGAUAUGAAUGAAAUUAUGUAAACUAAGCUAUAUAUUUAUCUCCUUCGUUCCAAAGGACUAAUCUUUGGAAGUUGUUAAAGGGAUUAUAUUCUCAAAGAUUCUUCAGCUUACCAGGGGAAGGAAAACCAGACAGAAGAGAAUAGACCUGGAAAAAAGAAAAAAAAGAAAAAAGAAAAAAAAAUUUCUUAAAAUUC